CCCUGCUGCCCACCCCUCUGGUGAUGCAGUUGGCCUUCUGGGCUGCAAGCACACACUGCUGGCUCAUGUAGAGCCUUUCACCCACCAAAACCCCCAAGUCCUUCCCUGCUGGGCUGCUCUCCACCAGUUCUUCUCCCAGCCUGUACUCCAGGACUGGAUUUACCACACGCAGCCUCCCCUAAGGCAGCCGAGCGAGGGAUGUAAUUCACUGAAGUGCCUUCUCUCAGCAGGAGAGACCUUCCUGACUGCUGCUAACGAAAUUGCAGGAAACAAUAUUUUCCUGCUCAGCCCUGGCAAGCGAACAGCACAGAAGGGACGUUUUUGGCAGCGUUCCUCUGAGAGAGCAAAAGAUAACGCGAUGACUGGGUGAAGGCAAGUGGGAAGCAAAGAGAAGGAGGCCACGAUGGUAAGGAUCUCUGCAGCUUGUCUUCCCAAUGGGAGAGAGCAACCAGGAAACAGCGGCGGGGUUAAAGAGCAGAGCUCAAAGAAGAGAAAGGUUGGGAAGCAACCACUCAUAGAGUACUCGGAGGACAAACCUGUUCUAGGAAGCCACUUCCAAAUACUCUAGAAUGAGAGUUAAAAAGAGGACCAGCCUGUAGAAAAGCUGGGGGAUGUUCACCCUCCAACACACUUCGGGUUGUGGAGAUGGAUGGAGGAUAUUCCUGUCUGGGGACCAUCUCAGCCCACCAGCAGCCAGGGCUAAGCCUGCUCAGGGACACACUGAGGUUGUGCACAGCAAAGGGACCUGGAGAGCACCACGUCUGUGGUCUGGCAGAGGACUGUCAGAGGAGAUGGAGAUGAAGACGGCUGGCAGACAGGAGUCUGGCUUCUGCCAGUGAGUCACUGCAGAGCUGGGCAAGCUGCACGUCCUCUUGUGCCUCCGGUGCUGGCAAAAAAAUAUAGGAUACAGAUCUGUCUCCAUGUUGGGCUCUG